rnacentral:rRNA from 1 species
UCGAACGGAAAGGCCCUGCUUGCAGGGUACUCGAGUGGCGAACGGGUGAGUAACACGUGGGUGAUCUGCCCUGCACUUCGGGAUAAGCCUGGGAAACUGAGUCUAAUACCGGAUAGGAGCCAUUUUUAGUGUGAUGGUUGGAAAGCUUUUUCGGUGUAGGAUGAGCUCGCGGCCUAUCAGCUUGUUGGUGGGGUAAUGGCCUACCAAGGCGGCGACGGGUAGCCGGCCUGAGAGGGUGGACGGCCACAUUGGGACUGAGAUACGGCCCAGACUCCUACGGGAGGCAGCAGUGGGGAAUAUUGCACAAUGGGCGCAAGCCUGAUGCAGCGACGCCGCGUGGGGGAUGACGGCCUUCGGGUUGUAAACUCCUUUCGCUAGGGACGAAGCUUUUUGUGACGGUACCUAGAUAAGAAGCACCGGCUAACUACGUGCCAGCAGCCGCGGUAAUACGUAGGGUGCGAGCGUUGUCCGGAAUUACUGGGCGUAAAGGGCUCGUAGGUGGUUUGUCGCGUCGUCUGUGAAAUUCCGGGGCUUAACUCCGGGCGUGCAGGCGAUACGGGCAUAACUUGAGUACUGUAGGGGUAACUGGAAUUCCUGGUGUAGCGGUGAAAUGCGCAGAUAUCAGGAGGAACACCGAUGGCGAAGGCAGGUUACUGGGCAGUUACUGACGCUGAGGAGCGAAAGCA